UGUGCAGUGGAAGUAAAAAUUUUCGUCAAAUCCAAAGACUAUAUACUGAAGGAAGAUAGGAAGGCUCAAAAUAGGAAUGUUAAUAUACUAGUUGCCAACUCCAAAGUGAACACAAUAGUUUGACCGCUCAGUGUUCAGAUGUCGUUGUAGGUAUAUCGCAUGUCGUCUGUUUGUUUAUAUUUUUAGAAUUUGACAGUUGACACAAACGAAAUCAUGGCGCCAACAGUGAAUAAGUCACACAAAAGUGUUGUUUGCAAUAAAAGAAUAGAAACCGAUCCUCAUUUGUGUUUCACAGGUUCCCUAAGGAUAAAAGACGGUAAUUACUAACAUUAUAAUACAUUAUGUAUGUGCUACUAUUAAUCAGUAAGCCCCACUGAUAUUGGAUAUAAGAUUAAGGCAAGGCCUCCGCAGUACAUUUUUUUGUUUCAAAAUUUUUUUUUUUUUUAAGUUUACCGAGUAACUUUAUGACUUCAUCACACUCAAACCAGCAACCAAGCAGUGCUGUGCCAAUUCAGGAGUGUUAAGAGAAUAAAAAAGUGUUGGCUUAGAGAGUAAAAGUGUUCAAGGUAUGUCAAUGAAAGUAUAGCCUACAAGGUUAGAAAGGUUAGAAAAAAAACUUCCAAAUUCCUAGCCUAACCGAAACUGAUUAGUAUCACAGCAAACAUACCGAUAGAUGUCCAAAGGUUAGGCAGAUUUAGUAUCGGUGAUGAUCCAAAAUCAGUGGGUAAAAGAUCGAAAAAGUGGAGAAGCAGCUUCCAAAUUUAUUUAGAAGCACUAGGGAAAAUAGUUAAAAAGCAGCAGAAACCAUUGUUACUUCAUACUGCAGGUUUAGAAGUUCAGGAAGUUUACAGAAGACAAUUGAAGGGCUCACAAAUCCAUUUGCUCCUCAAGCAAAUAUGUACUUUGAAUGUUAUUAGCUCAUCGAAGCCUCACAGGAAUCAGGUGAGACAGUAGAUUCAUUUGUGACUAGGUUAAGGAAAUUAGCUUACAACUUAUGAAUUUGGAGAUCUAGACCAGGGGUUAAUAGACCAAAUUAUAGUAAAGAAUAAUUCACAAGAGCUUAGGAAGACAUUGCUACAAGAAAAGAAGCUAACCAUUUGGAAAUACAUUCGGCUGUAGCUCCGAAAAUAGCCAUAGGAUUUUUUCAAAAAUAAUCUCAAUGGGAUUCCCACAAAAAGUUACCUUCGAUUGCUUAACGUAACCUAACCCAACCAAACCUAACCUAAACUAACUUUUAAAGUGAUACGCUCAAGAGUGAUUAUAUUUUCUCUGCAACAUAAGUCAAAACUAUAGAAUAGUAGAAUGUAUUUUUGUAUGCUGGUGAAAUAGGAUGGCAUAACAUAUAGUAUUAUAUCACCUAGAUGCUUGAUAUGGACGAACCCCAUCCAAAUUCAGGAGUUGAGGCAAAAAAACUCACGACAACUAAAUUCAAGCUAUUGUGUGUGCAGCAGGAAUUUCUCCACCAAAAAAUACCUUCAUCCAGCUUCUGACAAACUUUGCCACAAUGCCUGCCCAGAUCAACAUGUAGGAGAUACAUCAAUAGAUUUACACCACCAAGCAAAUUAUACAUCAAAUUGGUUGCUGACUUAUCCACACGAGAAUUUGCACAACCUUGAAUAUGGUGUGUGUAUUUGAUGUGCAGUAUUUGAUGUGCAGUUUGUAUAUGUUUAGAUUUUCUGAAAUGGGAAGUGCAUCACAAUUAUUCUAAAUAUAGUUAAUCUUGUAGGUACCAUUCCUGCUCUGGAGAAUAGAUCAUCCUUGAAACAUGGUAAAUGGUCUAUGCUUUUGGUAGAUAUUACAGUUUUGUUUUUAAUAACUAGAAUUCAUAUAGUAGGUAAAGAUUGACCUUUAAGAUUUUGCUAUAUUAUGCUACAUAUAUAUUCACUUUGUUUUCAGUGAAAAAGUGUUAGACUAAUAGUUGUAUUAUGGCUAUAGGGUUCAUCUAUCAACUUACCAGGGAAAAUUCCAAGGAAGACUAUGGAAAUAUUGAAUUAAGUGAAAAUGUUCAAUCAGAUAUUGAAUUUACUGAUGGUUAUCGAAAGGAUACUGGCAGUGAAGUGUACAGUAAUGCCACAGUAACAAGCAUUAUGGAUAAUAUUAGUUGUAUUGCUACAAGUGUUAGUCCUACUACAACUAUUAUGACUGCUAAACCUACAUUUGGUACUAAUACUGCUGCUACUACUAUCCCUCCCCCUACUGCUGCUACUACUACAACUAAUACUAAUGAUGAUGUUGAUUGUAGCAUUCUCAAUGUAAAUGAUAAUUUACAAAAGCCUGAAAUACAGUAUGAGACCAUACAAUAAGGGUUACAUGAAGAAGGAGAACCAACAUUCACAAACAUAAAAUCAAAUGGCAAGAUGAUACCAUGAAUUCAUUUUUUUAAGAGAUCAAAACAAAAUAUUUUUCCCCAAUAA